rnacentral:lncRNA from 1 species
GAAGUAAACAUAUUGGCUAAUACUGCUUUUGCAAAUUUGUAGCUUUUCUUUCUUAUAAUGUAUUGAAGUAUGUACAUGUAUGCCUCGAGUAUUGUGUUAGACCAAAAACACCGAAAAAAGAACCUUUAUAUUUUUUAAUUUAUUUUUUUACUUUAUACGAAAAGAAAACUUAGUAAUGUUGUAAAUAAAUGACAAAGAGAAAAGAUAGAAGAAAGCUUUUCUUUCAAAGCUUUCUCAAUAUAUGAUGUAAAUUAAGAACAGAGAAGAAAAAAAAGAAAACAACUUUACCUUCUCAAAUGAAUUGAAUAUAUGCUAGUUUGGUAUUGUAGUUGAAGAAAGUGGUAAUCAUUAUAAAUUUAUAGAACAGUUUAGUUUAUAUGGAAGAGAGAAAAAAAAAUGAUGUCGAAUUGGUAGAUAAUGACCGAGAAUAGAACGAAAAAAACUAUAAAUAUUAACGACAAGAUUGACAAUAGAAACUUUUGCUAUAAAAAGUAUUUUAACAGCAGAAAAAGGAAGCA